CGGGACUAGAUCGUUACAAAUGCUGCUGAUCUACGAUUACUAGCGAUUCAGCUUCAUGUAGUCGAGUUGCAUAUUUCAAUCCGAACUGAGAUAAUUUUUUGGGAUUUGCUUUGUCUCGCGGAUUCGCUGCCCUUUGUAUAUCCUUGUAGCCGUGUGUAGCCCAAAUCUAAGGGGCUGAUUUUCUCCGCCAUCCCCACUUCCCCGGUUGUCACCGGCAGGCACCUAGUUGUCAC
rnacentral:rRNA from 1 species